GACGAACGCUGGCGGCGUGCUUAACACAUGCAAGUCGAACGAAGUGGCGAACGGGUGAGUAACGCGUGAGGAACCUGCCUCUUACAACGGGAUAGCCUCGGGAAACCGGGAUUAAUACCGUAUAGUAAGAGAUGGCCUCGCGUCUGAUUAGUUAGUUGGCGGGGUAACGGCCCACCAAGACGACGAUCAGUAACCGGCCUGAGAGGGUGAACGGUCACAUUGGAACUGAGACACGGUCCAAACUCCUACGGGAGGCAGCAGUGGGGAAUCUUGCACAAUGGGGGAAACCCUGAUGCAGCGACGCCGCGUGAGCGAUGAAGGUUUUCGAAUCGUAAAGCUCUGUCCUAUGGGAAGCGGUACCAUGGGAGGAAGCCCCGGCUAACUACGUGCCAGCAGCCGCGGUAAUUC
rnacentral:rRNA from 1 species